CAAUAAAAUUCAGAGAAAAAAAAAAAGAAUAAUCGUUGUCUCAUCUUUAAAAAAAAAAAAAAACCCACCGAACAAACGUAAGAACUUGGCUCGAUCGAAGAAUCAAUUGCGACAGCUAUUUCGUCUCCGUUUAUACUGUGUUGCAAAUCGUGAAUUCUUUAAAGAGGUCAAGUAUAAAUUGCGAGUAACCUAAAAAUGUGGAGGAGGCUAUAUCACGUUUUGUCAUUGGAGCUAUUCAAAAAUCUAUUGGUUGAAGAUUGCCAAAAUCUCAACCGACCGGAUCAAGCAAAGGAUCGAGCCCAUGAUCCGUGUGUCGACCCGCCAAAGAACCCCAUGAUCCGCGUGUUUAUUCGGUUCAGUAGCCCAAGAUCCGUGGGUUACUUCCUUUCAAAUUAUUGUUUUACCCUUUUAUGUGUUUUUUUUUACUCUUAGAAUGCAAAAUUCUUAAUGGCAUUCUU